rnacentral:tRNA from 1 species
GGCGCGUUCGUCUAGCCUGGUCCAGGACACAAGAUUUUCACUCUUGGAAUCGCGGGUUCGAAUCCCGCACGCGCUA